GGUUAAGCGACUAAGCGUACACGGUGGAUGCCCUGGCAGUCAGAGGCGAUGAAGGACGUGCUAAUCUGCGAUAAGCGUCGGUAAGGUGAUAUGAACCGUUAUAACCGGCGAUUUCCGAAUGGGGAAACCCAGUGUGAUUCGUCACACUAUCAUUAACUGAAUCCAUAGGUUAAUGAGGCGAACCGGGGGAACUGAAACAUCUAAGUACUCCGAGGAAAAGAAAUCAACCGAGAUUCCCCCAGUAGCGGCGAGCGAACGGGGAGCAGCCCAGAGCCUGAAUCAGUGUGUGUGUUAGUGGAAGCGUCUGGAAAGGCGCGCGAUACAGGGUGACAGCCCCGUACACAAAAAUGCACAUAUUGUGAGCUCGAUGAGUAGGGCGGGACACGUGGUAUCCUGUCUGAAUAUGGGGGGACCAUCCUCCAAGGCUAAAUACUCCUGACUGACCGAUAGUGAACCAGUACCGUGAGGGAAAGGCGAAAAGAACCCCGGCGAGGGGAGUGAAAAAGAACCUGAAACCGUGUACGUACAAGCAGUGGGAGCACGCUUAGGCGUGUGACUGCGUACCUUUUGUAUAAUGGGUCAGCGACUUAUAUUCUGUAGCAAGGUUAACCGAAUAGGGGAGCCGAAGGGAAACCGAGUCUUAACUGGGCGUUAAGUUGCAGGGUAUAGACCCGAAACCCGGUGAUCUAGCCAUGGGCAGGUUGAAGGUUGGGUAACACUAACUGGAGGACCGAACCGACUAAUGUUGAAAAAUUAGCGGAUGACUUGUGGCUGGGGGUGAAAGGCCAAUCAAACCGGGAGAUAGCUGGUUCUCCCCGAAAGCUAUUUAGGUAGCGCCUCGUGAAUUCAUCUCCGGGGGUAGAGCACUGUUUCGGCAAGGGGGUCAUCCCGACUUACCAACCCGAUGCAAACUGCGAAUACCGGAGAAUGUUAUCACGGGAGACACACGGCGGGUGCUAACGUCCGUCGUGAAGAGGGAAACAACCCAGACCGCCAGCUAAGGUCCCAAAGUCAUGGUUAAGUGGGAAACGAUGUGGGAAGGCCCAGACAGCCAGGAUGUUGGCUUAGAAGCAGCCAUCAUUUAAAGAAAGCGUAAUAGCUCACUGGUCGAGUCGGCCUGCGCGGAAGAUGUAACGGGGCUAAACCAUGCACCGAAGCUGCGGCAGCGACACUGUGUGUUGUUGGGUAGGGGAGCGUUCUGUAAGCCUGUGAAGGUGUGCUGUGAGGCAUGCUGGAGGUAUCAGAAGUGCGAAUGCUGACAUAAGUAACGAUAAAGCGGGUGAAAAGCCCGCUCGCCGGAAGACCAAGGGUUCCUGUCCAACGUUAAUCGGGGCAGGGUGAGUCGACCCCUAAGGCGAGGCCGAAAGGCGUAGUCGAUGGGAAACAGGUUAAUAUUCCUGUACUUGGUGUUACUGCGAAGGGGGGACGGAGAAGGCUAUGUUGGCCGGGCGACGGUUGUCCCGGUUUAAGCGUGUAGGCUGGUUUUCCAGGCAAAUCCGGAAAAUCAAGGCUGAGGCGUGAUGACGAGGCACUACGGUGCUGAAGCAACAAAUGCCCUGCUUCCAGGAAAAGCCUCUAAGCAUCAGGUAACAUCAAAUCGUACCCCAAACCGACACAGGUGGUCAGGUAGAGAAUACCAAGGCGCUUGAGAGAACUCGGGUGAAGGAACUAGGCAAAAUGGUGCCGUAACUUCGGGAGAAGGCACGCUGAUAUGUAGGUGAAGCGACUUGCUCGUGGAGCUGAAAUCAGUCGAAGAUACCAGCUGGCUGCAACUGUUUAUUAAAAACACAGCACUGUGCAAACACGAAAGUGGACGUAUACGGUGUGACGCCUGCCCGGUGCCGGAAGGUUAAUUGAUGGGGUCAGCGCAAGCGAAGCUCUUGAUCGAAGCCCCGGUAAACGGCGGCCGUAACUAUAACGGUCCUAAGGUAGCGAAAUUCCUUGUCGGGUAAGUUCCGACCUGCACGAAUGGCGUAAUGAUGGCCAGGCUGUCUCCACCCGAGACUCAGUGAAAUUGAACUCGCUGUGAAGAUGCAGUGUACCCGCGGCAAGACGGAAAGACCCCGUGAACCUUUACUAUAGCUUGACACUGAACAUUGAGCCUUGAUG
rnacentral:rRNA from 1 species